GGUCCCAGACAUUGUAUUGUCUUAAUUAUAAUCAUACAUGCUAGUCUCCACACACCAGUGAGUAGCGCCCCUUGCCCAGGAGCCGGUAUCAGGCACACCAUCUCAAUGGUAGCCCAAGACACCUAGCCUCGCCACCCCCCCACUGGGUAACAGCAGUAGUAAAUACUAAGCAAUAAGCCUACUAACGCUUGACUUGGUAAUAAUUAAUUUAAGACCGGUAAAUCACGUGCCAGCCACCGCGGUUAUACGUGAGGCCCAAGACAAUAUACUUCGGCGUAAAAUGUGACUAAUGAUUAAUUAAAAGUCGGGGGAAAAACCUAAGAAAAGUUGUAAAAUACGCAGUCCGUCCCACACCCCCUCUACCCCCACUAACCAAUCACCCUGACCUCACGAAAGCUGGGACCCAAACUAGGAUUAGAUACCCUACUAUGCCCAAUCGUAAACAAUGAUACCAUAAAUAUCCGCCAGAGAACUACAACCGACCAGCUUGAAACUCAAAAGACUUGACAGUAUCUCAUACACCCCUAGAGGAGCCUGUCCUAUAAUCGAUAACCCACGCUAUACCUCACCUGCCUUUGCACCAAUCAGCCUAUAUACCUCCGUCGCCAGUUCGCCUGCCAACAGCUACCAAAGCGUAUACACUAGCCCGACCCUCCCACGACAGGUCAAGGUGUAGCUAAUAGGCAGGGCAGAGAUGGGCUACAUUUUCUUUGUUAGAAAACACCAAACGUGCCAUGCAAACCGCACAAGAAGGCGGAUUUAGCAGUAAUUAGGGCAAGAUGCGCCCACCUGAAGAUUACCCUGAGAUGUGU
rnacentral:ncRNA from 1 species